rnacentral:RNase_P_RNA from 1 species
CGAGUCGGCAGGGCGGCCGCGGCGAGCGAGAGCACGUCGAGGAAAGUCCGGACUCCACAGGGCAGGGUGGUUGCUAACGGCAACCCGAGGCGACUCGCGGGACAGUGCCACAGAAAGCAGACCGCCUUGGCCGCAAGGCCGAGGUAAGGGUGAAACGGUGGUGUAAGAGACCACCAGCACCCCGGGUGACCGGGGUGGCUAGGUAAACCCCACCCGGAGCAAGGCCAAGAGGGCGCCCCCGGGCGCCUGCGCAGGCGACAAGGGCUGCCCGCCCAAGCCUGCGGGUAGGCCGCACGAGCCUGUCGGCAACGGCAGGCCUAGAUGGAUGGCCGCCACCUGGGCCCACCAGCCCAGGUACAGAAUCCGGCUUAUACGUCGGCUCGUCCG